rnacentral:lncRNA from 1 species
UAACUUGGUUAUACUUAAAAUUUUUAUGGCUUUUCUGAUAGCCACAAGGAAACUAUUCACCGAAAUAAAUUAAUAAGCGCCCAAAAACUAUUUGUCGCCGCCGCUUUGCGCGAGCACAUAACUAGUAUAUAUAUAUGUUCAGGUUCAUUUGAGACCAUUCUAAUUUUGUGAGACCGUGAGACCAAAUCUAAAAAUAAUUUUAAAAUGCAAAAUAAAUGGAAAAAUCCAAAAAUUGUUUUUUUAAAUAUUAUUUUCAGAACUUGAAUUAACUAGAAAAAUAAAAAAAUAAAUAAAAAAAAUUCCGUUUUUUUUAAAAAUACGUGAAAUAUUCUAAUAGAAUAUUACACUGUACAUAUUCUAAAAAAUAAUUUUAAAAUGCAAAAUAAAUGGAAAAAUCUAAAAAUUCUUUUUUUAAAUAUGAUUUUCGGAACUUGAAUUAACUAAAAAAAAUAAAAAAAAACUAAAUAAAAAUUCCAUUUUUUUUUGAAAAAUACGUGAAAUAUUCUAAUAGAAUAUUACACUGUACAUAUUCUAAAAAAUAAUUUUAAAAUGCAAAAUAAAUGGAAAAAUCCAAAAAUUC